GUUCCUCAGGGUUUUUGUAAGAAGAGAGAUGUUCAAAGAGGAGGUACAUAGAGAGUGUGAGAGAGAUGACGAUGAAUACUCCAGCAAUUAGUGUUGCCCAUACAGGAGGCGAGUAACUACUGAAAAGGUCAUGGAUGACCCGAUUCAAAUGCUCCGAUGAUAACGAUAUUACCCCUUGCAUCAGCUACGAUUUAGGGGUUCGCCGGAAACCUUGAUUUUUCCCCGAUGAUCGGAGCUCAUAUGAUUUUUUU
rnacentral:misc_RNA from 1 species